CGCACUUUGACAUAUGAUCGCAGGCAGUUUCAAGCAAUUCCCAGCACAUUAACAUUAUUAGGAGUUAGACAAAAUAGAGCCUGUUUAAUGCUAAUUACUCAAUGAAGAUCUGUGAGUGUUUCAGCGUGGAGACGGCCAUCUUGUGAUUGCAUCACAGUGUCCAAACCCUCAGUGACAGUAACUCAUAAGAAAACAAGGCUGUGAUGUCAGCAGUCAGUCAGAGUCUGUGAUUGGCUGGGGAUCUCCCGGCAUUCCAUCGUUCAGGACAGACGAAUAGCUUAUUUGUACUUUCUCUGGA